UGGGGCGGGACUUCCGCUCGGCUGCUGUGAGGGCGGCGGAGCGCGGCCCUGGUCGGAGGCCCGGACCUGGACCUGGACCUGGAUCUGGACCUGGACCUGGACCUGGAUUCGAGUCAGCUCCCUGAUAUUGCCUUACCCAAGGAUUUCCAGUGGUCUGUUUGCACUCCCUAAAGAGAGAGACUUGGACUUAGAAGUCAAGUAUUAGUCCAAAUAUCAGCUGAACAUUAGCACAUCUCGAACUAAAGCCUGGAUUCCUUUUAAUAGCCACUAGACAGAUACUUGGUGUGAAAUUCCGCUCCUGCUGGCAACUCCUCCUCCACGGGGUCAAUUCCACGAAAUCACCUCUUGGCAAAAAGCAAGAUGCUCUCCAUUUCUCCGCAAAAUUCCUCCGUCGCACAACAAUCCCAGGGAGUAUUUCGCAUUCGCCUGGCAAAGUCCCAAACAACGGCCUUUAGUCCCAGAUAACGGCCUGGGUAAAUCAGCAACUUCGGAAGUCCAUAACUCGAACAGAACGUUAGAUAAAUUGCAACAGUUCGUGAAGACGCCAGCAAAACGGCGUGUAAUUUUUAAUUAGGAAAGUUUCAUGUCCGUGAAGAUAUCCAGUAGCAUUUGCAACAGUUCUGAUGUUUGAGUGAACGCGAAGGGAACGGUAUAAAACAGUGUCUCUUUGUGCAGGGUUCAUUCAGUUCAAUAGAGGUUUGGUAACAUUAACAAACAAUUCCGGAGAAGUCAAAAGAGUCCGUGUUUAAAAAGCGAGGUCGAUGUCGCCGAGAAGAGUUGAUGCGACAGGAACAAGUCUGUAAAAACCUCUCCUGCAGACGGUGAAGGGGGCACGCAGUCCCCUUUGGCCGAGCUGCUCCACCAUCCCGCGCUGGCCUCGGCGCCCCCGGGCCCGGCCCGGCCCGCCGCCAUUUUAUCUCCCGGGGUAAAAGGGGGGGGGGGGGGGGGGGGGGGAAGGAACCCGGGCGCGGGUCCAAAUCCAAAACGGGCGCCGCUCUCUCUCCCUCCGCGGCCUCCCGUGCUUGAUCCUCGAAGCCGGCGGACGUCUCUCUCUUUCUUUGUACAAUUUACACGGGCUAACAAACUACAUCUUGUUUAAAAAUUUGAAUCGAUAACGGCCCCCGCCAAUAUGGCGCCGCUCCGUCACGGUUCCAAAUUUAAACCGAAAGAUUCAUUUAAAAAAAAGACCAAACCUACAAAGAUUUGUUUUUUUUUCCUCUCUCUGGGUUUAAAUGCAACACAUUUAUCAUUUUGUUUUACACCGCGGUCGCUGCU